rnacentral:rRNA from 1 species
GGUUAAGUGACUAAGCGUACACGGUGGAUGCCUAGGCAGUCAGAGGCGAUGAAGGGCGUGCUAAUCUGCGAAAAGCGUCGGUAAGGUGAUAUGAACCGUUACAACCGGCGAUACCCGAAUGGGGAAACCCAGUGUGUUUCGACACACUAUCAUGUCAUGAAUACAUAGUGGCAUGAGGCGAACCGGGGGAACUGAAACAUCUAAGUACCCCGAGGAAAAGAAAUCAACCGAGAUUCCCCCAGUAGCGGCGAGCGAACGGGGAGGAGCCCAGAACCUGAAUCGGCUUGUGUGUUAGUGGAAGCGUCUGGAAAGUCGCGCAGCAAAGGGUGAUAGCCCCGUACACUAAAAUGCACAGGUCGUGAGUUCGAUGAGUAGGGCGGGACACGUGACAUCCUGUCUGAAUAUGGGGGGACCAUCCUCCAAGGCUAAAUACUCCUGACUGACCGAUAGUGAACCAGUACCGUGAGGGAAAGGCGAAAAGAACCCCGGCGAGGGGAGUGAAAUAGAACCUGAAACCGUGUACGUACAAGCAGUGGGAGCACCUUCGUGGUGUGACUGCGUACCUUUUGUAUAAUGGGUCAGCGACUUAUAUUUUGUAGCAAGGUUAACCGUAUAGGGGAGCCGUAGGGAAACCGAGUCUUAACUGGGCGAAUAGUUGCAAGGUAUAGACCCGAAACCCGGUGAUCUAGCCAUGGGCAGGUUGAAGGUUGGGUAACACUAACUGGAGGACCGAACCGACUAAUGUUGAAAAAUUAGCGGAUGACUUGUGGCUGGGGGUGAAAGGCCAAUCAAACCGGGAGAUAGCUGGUUCUCCCCGAAAGCUAUUUAGGUAGCGCCUCGUGAACUCAUCUUCGGGGGUAGAGCACUGUUUCGGCUAGGGGGCCAUCCCGGCUUACCAAACCGAUGCAAACUCCGAAUACCGAAGAAUGUUAUCACGGGAGACACACGGCGGGUGCUAACGUCCGUCGUGAAGAGGGAAACAACCCAGACCGCCAGCUAAGGUCCCAAAGUCAUGGUUAAGUGGGAAACGAUGUGGGAAGGCAUAGACAGCCAGGAUGUUGGCUUAGAAGCAGCCAUCAUUUAAAGAAAGCGUAAUAGCUCACUGGUCGAGUCGGCCUGCGCGGAAGAUGUAACGGGGCUAAACCAUGCACCGAAGCUGCGGCAGCGACGCUUAGGCGUUGUUGGGUAGGGGAGCGUUCUGUAAGCCGUUGAAGGUGGCCUGUGAGGGUUGCUGGAGGUAUCAGAAGUGCGAAUGCUGACAUAAGUAACGAUAAAGCGGGUGAAAAGCCCGCUCGCCGGAAGACCAAGGGUUCCUGUCCAACGUUAAUCGGGGCAGGGUGAGUCGACCCCUAAGGCGAGGCUGAAAAGCGUAGUCGAUGGGAAACAGGUUAAUAUUCCUGUACUUGGUGUUACUGCGAAGGGGGGACGGAGAAGGCUAGGCUAGCCGGGCGACGGUUGUCCCGGUUUAAGCGUGUAGGGGGUGUGACCUGGUAAAUCCGGUUGCAUAUCAACCCUGAGGCGUGAUGACGAUGCACUACGGUGCAGAAGUAGUUGAUGCCCUGCUUCCAGGAAAAGCCUCUAAGCUCUAGGUAACAUUAAAUCGUACCCCAAACCGACACAGGUGGUCAGGUAGAGAAUACCAAGGCGCUUGAGAGAACUCGGGUGAAGGAACUAGGCAAAAUGGUGCCGUAACUUCGGGAGAAGGCACGCUGGCAUGUAGGUGAAGUCCCUUGCGGAUGGAGCUGAAGCCAGUCGAAGAUACCAGCUGGCUGCAACUGUUUAAUAAAAACACAGCACUGUGCAAACACGAAAGUGGACGUAUACGGUGUGACGCCUGCCCGGUGCUGGAAGGUUAAUUGAUGGGGUCAGCCGCAAGGCGAAGCUCUUGAUCGAAGCCCCAGUAAACGGCGGCCGUAACUAUAACGGUCCUAAGGUAGCGAAAUUCCUUGUCGGGUAAGUUCCGACCUGCACGAAUGGCGUAAUGAUGGCCAGGCUGUCUCCACCCGAGACUCAGUGAAAUUGAACUCGCUGUGAAGAUGCAGUGUACCCGCGGCAAGACGGAAAGACCCCGUGAACCUUUACUAUAGCUUGACACUGAACAUUGAGCCUUGAUGUGUAGGAUAGGUGGGAGGCUUUGAAGCGUGGACGCCAGUCUGCGUGGAGCCAUCCUUGAAAUACCACCCUUUAAUGUUUGAUGUUCUAACUCGGCCCCGUGAUCCGGGGUGAGGACAGUGUCUGGUGGGUAGUUUGACUGGGGCGGUCUCCUCCCAAAGAGUAACGGAGGAGCACGAAGGUUAGCUAAUCACGGUCGGACAUCGUGAGGUUAGUGCAAAGGCAUAAGCUAGCUUGACUGCGAGAGUGACGGCUCGAGCAGGUACGAAAGUAGGUCUUAGUGAUCCGGUGGUUCUGAAUGGAAGGGCCAUCGCUCAACGGAUAAAAGGUACUCCGGGGAUAACAGGCUGAUACCGCCCAAGAGUUCAUAUCGACGGCGGUGUUUGGCACCUCGAUGUCGGCUCAUCACAUCCUGGGGCUGAAGUAGGUCCCAAGGGUAUGGCUGUUCGCCAUUUAAAGUGGUACGCGAGCUGGGUUUAGAACGUCGUGAGACAGUUCGGUCCCUAUCUGCCGUGGGCGUUGGAAGAUUGAGAGGGGUUGCUCCUAGUACGAGAGGACCGGAGUGAACGCACCACUGGUGUUCGGGUUGUCAUGCCAAUGGCAUUGCCCGGUAGCUAAGUGCGGAAAAGAUAAGCGCUGAAAGCAUCUAAGCGCGAAACUUGCCUCAAGAUGAGUCUUCCCUGGGCCUUUAAGGCCCCUGAAGGAACGUUUAAGACUAAGACGUUGAUAGGCUGGGUGUGUAAGUGCAGCGAUGCAUUGAGCUAACCAGUACUAAUGAUCCGUGAGGCUUAACCUU